UACAGAGGUGGCAAGCGUUGUUCGGAAUUACUGGGCGUAAAGGGCGCGUAGGCGGCCUACUAAGUCAGACGUGAAAUCCCCCGGCUUAACUGGAACUGCGUCUGAUACUGGAAGGCUUGAGGAUGGGAGAGGGAUGUAGAAUUCCAGGUGUAGCGGUGAAAUGCGCAGAUAUCGGGAGGAACACCAAUUGCGAAGGCAGCUCGCUGGGACGGUACUGACGCUGAGGUGCGAAAGCGUGGGGAGCAACAGGG
rnacentral:rRNA from 1 species